UUUAUUGGAGAGUUUGAUCCUGGCUCAGGAUGAACGCUGGCGGCGUGCCUAAUACAUGCAAGUCGAGCGAAUGGAUUAAGAGCUUGCUCUUAUGAAGUUAGCGGCGGACGGGUGAGUAACACGUGGGUAACCUGCCCAUAAGACUGGGAUAACUCCGGGAAACCGGGGCUAAUACCGGAUAAUAUUUUGAACUGCAUGGUUCGAAAUUGAAAGGCGGCUUCGGCUGUCACUUAUGGAUGGACCCGCGUCGCAUUAGCUAGUUGGUGAGGUAACGGCUCACCAAGGCAACGAUGCGUAGCCGACCUGAGAGGGUGAUCGGCCACACUGG
rnacentral:rRNA from 1 species